GGGACUCGGUAGAGAGUCUCUCUUGCAAGCAAAAUAGGGUUUCGAAGGCUCUUAAAGAGAAGAAAGUGUAGGGCUGCAGUACGGUUCCUAUCACCAUUUUAGGCCAUUUUUGCUAUCACUCACGCUUAACACUCAGUUGGAAAACCGGAAUAGCUGGUGUGCUCUCCUGUUGCUUCUCCAAGCCAUUAGAAGACCAUCUAUUGGGCUUCUUUGAGGUGGGAAAGCGAUGAUCUUGUUGGUGCUUAUGAGGUAACUUUGUAUUUUCUCCAAGUUAUUGUUAUUCUCUCUCAUUUGAUUGUAAGCCUC
rnacentral:lncRNA from 1 species